UACGAAGGGGGCUAGCGUUGCUCGGAAUCACUGGGCGUAAAGGGUGCGUAGGCGGGUCUUUAAGUCAGGCGUGAAAUUCCUGGGCUCAACCUGGGGACUGCGCUUGAUACGGCAGAGCUAGAGGAUGGAAGAGGCUCGCGGAAUUCCCAGUGUAGAGGUGAAGUUCGUAGAUAUUGGGAAGAACACCGGUGGCGAAGGCGGCGAGCUGGUCCAUUACUGACGCUGAGGCGCGACAGCGUGGGGAGCAAACAGG
rnacentral:rRNA from 1 species